rnacentral:rRNA from 1 species
UCGGGAAUUUUGGGCAAUGGGCGAAAGCCUGACCCAGCAACGCCGCGUGAAGGAUGAAAUCCCUCGGGAUGUAAACUUCGCAAGAACGGGAAGAAUAAGUUGGUGUGAAUAUCACCAGCGAUGACGGUACCGUUUGUAAGCUCCGGCUAACUCCGUG